rnacentral:rRNA from 1 species
UACGAAGGGGGCUAGCGUUGCUCGGAAUUACUGGGCGUAAAGCGCACGUAGGCGGCUUUCUAAGUCAGGGGUGAAAUCCCGGGGCUCAACCUCGGAACUGCCUUUGAUACUGCAAAUCUCGAGUCCGGAAGAGGUGAGUGGAAUUCCUAGUGUAGAGGUGAAAUUCGUAGAUAUUAGGAAGAACACCAGUGGCGAAGGCGGCUCACUGGUCCGGUACUGACGCUGAGGUGCGAAAGCGUGGGGAGCAAACAGGG